rnacentral:rRNA from 1 species
UACGUAGGGUGCAAGCGUUAAUCGGAAUUACUGGGCGUAAAGCGUGCGCAGGCGGUGAUGUAAGACAGGUGUGAAAUCCCCGGGCUUAACCGUAGGACUGCAUUUGUGACUGCAUCGCUGGAGUGCGGCAGAGGGGGAUGGAGUUCCGCGUGUAGCAGUGAAAUGCGUAGAUAUGCGGAGGAACACCGAUGGCGAAGGCAAUCCCCUGGGCCUGCACUGACGCUCAUGCACGAAAGCGUGGGGAGCAAACAGG